rnacentral:rRNA from 1 species
ACGGAAGGGGCUAGCGUUGUUCGGAUUUACUGGGCGUAAAGCGCAUGUAGGCGGCCGUUCAAGUGAGGCGUGAAAGGCCUGGGCUCAACCCGGGAACGGCGCUUCAGACUGGAUGGCUAGAGUUCGGGAGAGGGUGGUGGAAUUUCCAGUGUAGAGGUGAAAUUCGUAGAUAUUGGAAGGAACACCGGUGGCGAAGGCGGCCACCUGGCCCGAAACUGACGCUCAAGUGCGAAAGCGUGGGGAGCAAACAG